rnacentral:rRNA from 1 species
GCUCAGAUUGAACGCUGGCGGCAGGCCUAACACAUGCAAGUCGAGCGGCAGCGGGAAAGUAGCUUGCUACUUUUGCCGGCGAGCGGCGGACGGGUGAGUAAUGCCUGGGAAAUUGCCCAGUCGAGGGGGAUAACAGUUGGAAACGACUGCUAAUACCGCAUACGCCCUACGGGGGAAAGCCGGGGACCUUCGGGCCUUGCGCGAUUGGAUAUGCCCAGGUGGGAUUAGCUUGUUGGUGAGGUAAUGGCUCACCAAGGCGACGAUCCCUAGCUGGUCUGAGAGGAUGAUCAGCCACACUGGAACUGAGACACGGUCCAGACUCCUACGGGAGGCAGCAGUGGGGAAUAUUGCACAAUGGGGGAAACCCUGAUGCAGCCAUGCCGCGUGUGUGAAGAAGGCCUUCGGGUUGUAAAGCACUUUCAGCGAGGAGGAAAGGUUGGUAGCUAAUAACUGCCAACUGUGACGUUACUCGCAGAAGAAGCACCGGCUAACUCCGUGCCAGCAGCCGCGGUAAUACGGAGGGUGCG